AAAUCGUCCCUGGACUGAAACGAUCAAUUAGCAGCCCGAAACGCACUGUGAAGUAAAUUGUCACACUCUCUAUUACAGGAUGGUUAUCAUAUAUUUAUAAGGGACAAAGCAGAGGCCCGUUAUGAGUGAUGACGUCAAACCCAGGGAAGACUGUCAGUUAGCUCUACUUGAGAAAAGGAGGGUUAUCACCUGAUGUUCACCCACACUGCUUUAGCCAAGGGCACAAGAUGAUUAGGCCCUGUCAGGGGGCGGACUGAACCAAACCAGCCAAGCGUAUUGUACGGCGUGACCCUGCAUUGUUAAGUGUGUCAACAUAUUAACCUGAAUUCCCUUCAGCCCCCACAUAAUCACAUUUGGUGCAAGAAUAAAGGAGCUAAAACAUGAA